rnacentral:lncRNA from 1 species
UUGUUGAAAAAUAUUAAUUCUGUAAAUAAUCAAUGUUGAUAAAUUUAUUCGCUCCACAGUAAAAUUAUGAAAUAAAGUCGUAAGAUUUUGUAUUUGUAGCAAAAGCUUCUUGUAAAUUUUUCCAUUUUACCUGUUAGUUUAAUGAAGACUAAGCCCAUUUGGCCUUAGUUUUUUAGAGAUUCUUUUACUGGUUUGAUUUUUGAGUUUCUUCAUUUUAAGUGAAUUUUCUUAAUUAGUUGUUCAAUUAAAAUUUUAUACUUUUUCAAUUCUUUUUAAUGAGAUGAGUCUAAAAAUAUAAAAAAAUAACUAAAUUAGGAAACAAAUUCACUAUAGACAAGAGAAUCAUUUUUACUUGACAAAUUAACUAUAUUUUUUUAAUUUAAAUAAUUUUUUUAUAUUUUCAGAUUUAUUUCCUGAAGUAAAAUCGAAAAUUGGGCACAGUUCAUAUUCUGAUUAGAUUUGAUUGGAAUGCGGCUACCUGUGCACCGGUUUUCCCUCUAGCUUUGCAAUGUCAUUGAGGCACCUCACAUUCCAUGACUUGGCUACUCCCCAAAUUGUUCCAUUUGCACCCAAGGGAGAGUAAGCAAUGACAUACUACCAUUUCGCUCACAAACUCUCUUAGCUCUUCUCUGCCAAGUGGGGUUCAUCUCCACAUUUUUGCUUGCCAAAACACAAACACACCACAACAACAAUAAUAUCACUUAAGAAUGUUGUUUCUAGGAAGGGGGGGGGGGAGGGGGAGGGGCGUGUACCCAUAAUAUAAUAUGGGAGGGUCUCAUUAUUAAGUUUAUCAUUAAAAAAUAAAAAAUCAAUAGAUUUCAUGUUGGUAGCUAGCCAUAAUGAAUCUUAGUUGACGUCUCUUUCAAAAAUAGGCAAAGAGUCUGAUUAAAUUUCGAGAAUGUGCGCUUGGAAGAAGUAUAUGGUUUGAUCAUUUGUCUACUAUAUCUAAGUAAUCUAAUUUUAUACAUGAAUACUCUACUGGCGAGUUCUACAAAAUGAACGGAUGAACGGUUCUCAUCAUAUUAUCAAGUUUGAAGUGAGUCCAAUAUCCCAUGGGCACAACACACUCCCCCAUACUUGAUUCAUAGAGUAAUUUUGUACAUAAUAACUUUCUGAUUGUCGAUAUUUUUUCAUUUCAAAAAUCAAAAUAAUGGGACAGUAAUGAUAUAGUAAAUAGGUUACUUGGUUAACAGCAGGAGGGAUGUUUGCAGUUGCUAGUAGUAGUUGGAGCUUUUUGCAUGAGAAGUUACUGACACCAAUAGAUUUAGUGAGGCCAACAUUCUUACACCCCUCCAUGGCUUCCCAAACUGACUUCAAGUCCAUUGGAACGAUGUCUUCCUCCUUUAUAGGAACCUCGUAUUUACCGGGCGUCGAGCUUACCGGAAAAUGAAUCAGAUACAGAUCAAGGUCUUCCAACCCAGGUUCCUACAAAAUUAAUGUAUUAAAUCUCAUUUUUUCCCCUUUAUUUUCUUAUAUUUAACUUUAUUUUUACCCGUUCAUCCAUAAAUCCAUAAUCCCAAAAUAAUCAUAGGCUAUCUUUGGUUUAACGAUUGAUUUAAUGGCUCAAAUUCAAAAUAUUUCCUUGACAAUAUCAAUAAAUCCCGUCACAAAUCUAUAAUAAUCCAAACACAGUCUAAUGAAGUUGGCAUGCACUCCCUCCGUCCCAAUUUAUUUUUCAUUUGGUGUUCACUUAAAAAGUUUUAAAUUUUUAAAAUGAACCUUUAGUAAUUUAAAAUUACUUCGGAAACAAACUCGAUACAUCACAUCAAUUCAAAAAAAGCUGAGCAAAUAAAAAAUAUACAAUAUUGUGAACAUAAUUGCACUUUUAUUUUAAAACAUUCAAGAAAAAAAAAAGACAAAUAAAUUGAGCAGGAUAAGGCUUACUUGAGUGAGUUUUGUAAUGCAAAGCACAAGGUCAUGGUGGGCAUCAUUGCAUCAAGCUUGCACCUUGUUGGCGGAGGGAGAUGGUCCCCGGAUGUGGCCAUCCCCGAUUUCUUCUCCUCUUCUUCUCCUUCUCCCGGAUUUUGAGUAUUUUACUCUUUCCUUGAUUUCAUCUCCGGAUGGCCUUCCGAACUCCCUCCAUCGAGGAUUGGGGGGGGUACCCCCGUCCGUGGUCAAGCGGUGCUCCGCGUGGUGUGUAAUGACCGAUGUGCCCUCGUCUUCCUCGCAACUCAGUUAUUGUGUGGCUGGUAAGUUUUGUUUAUCUGUGUUUUGGUUUGGAGUUGUGUUACCGACCACUGCGUCACGUGCUCGCUGAUUAUUCCAUGAUAUUUUGCGGGAAUAUUUCAUUCCAUUUGUGUUGGUUUGGCUACAGAUUUGACCAAAAAUCAUAUUGCCCCUAAUUUUUGGGUUUGUCUAAUUGUGAUUGUUCUUUGGAAGUUUAGUUCUAGUUCAUAUCAAUAUUUCGUUGAUUUUUGUUUUUGUUUUUUGCGUUUGUUUUUGUUUUGAUUUGGAUCUUUGUUGUAUUUUUUGGUUUGUCCUAAUUGUGCAGCUGCUUUCCUUUGGUUUCCUUUUGGUCUCGCUGGGCUCUCUACCCAGUGGGCUUAUUGGAUUGGCUGGCAAUGCCGACAUGAACUAUUAAUCUCUACGGAUUUGUUCAUUAUCAAAAUAAUUUCAUGUUGUUGAUUGGUUUUUUACUUUCAAUAAAGAUCACUCGCUAGCCGUGAGUUCCAAUUCCUGGGAUCACAAAAAGCUUAUAUUAGUUGUUCAAACCCGUGUUGAAGGAUGGGAUAUGAUUUCUUUAGGAUGUAUAGUUUGUAUGGCUAGUCUUGAUAAACAAGAGGUCUUGAGAAAUUCCUUAAAUUGGGAAAUGCAAUAUCUAAUAGUAUCAAAACCUGUAUUUAAGCAUGGUCCUGUUAAUGUUUAUGUAGUAACAGUUUGUAUGGCUUAUGGCGUUAAAUCAAGAGUUCUCUUGAACAAAACCCCUGAAGAAUUUGUGUGCAAUAAUGGCACCGUGCAGGUUAUGAUUGGAGACCAUUUUUUUUCACUAUAGAAUAUUGAGACCUAAGAAAUAAAUAUACAUAGUGGAUUGUAUCCAUAAUGGGGAUAAUAAUGUAAUUGAUCUGCAUUAAUUAUUUUUCUUUUGCUUAUUGGUUUGAUAUUUUGGGUCACCGCGGACUAUCAUGAGUCUACACGUUAAUAAGUUGUCGGUAGCUUCAUUAAAGGUUUCUUUCAGAACAGUUUUUAUUGGCCUUGACUUGGUGCAAAAUGAUACUGCUGUUUGUAUUUUGUGGUUGCUUAUUAGUUAAAUAGGUUUUCGGUACUAUUCUGCCUUCUCAACAAAUGGUGCUAUAUGUCAACACGAAUGUUUCCCCUAUCCUCUUUCCUUUGCGGUUCUGAGAGGUUUCAGCUUGGUUCUUAAAAACUUUGUCUCUUUCCAAAUUAUUUUCUCAUUGUUUUGUAUCUUUACAUUAUUGAACAUGCAUCUCUUCUUCACACCUUCCUUCAAAAGUAAGGGAACCACCCAUGAUGGGUCCUUGCCCCUGGGUUAUGUGACACACUGGAUUUUGUGCGCUUGUUGUUGGUUUAUUUGAACUGUACCCUAGGCUACAUGGUGGUGGUCUUCAUGUGGAAAGCCAAAUGACGAUAACGGGAGCUACCAUGGGUUUGUGCAGAUGCUAGAACGCAACAUUGUUCCUUUAAUUUGAAUUGUACUCAACUUAAUUACAUAGUUGAGUGUUGGAAGGCUAAAUACAGGCAAAUGGUGAUUUCUUUGUACUUUGGAUUCAGAGGUGAUCUAUACUAUCCAAAGCAUGUCAGUAAGGUAAAACUUUCUCAUAGAAGUCUCGUACCCGGGUACUUCAUACGAGACCAUUUCAGAAGCCCUGUGCUUCAUAUGGGGCUUUUCUGGAUUGCUAGUAUUAUAUGUUUGUUAUUAUUGUCAAUUGACGUUUGAGGAGUACUUUAAGCUGUUGUUUUUUAUCUAUUAAAACAAUGAAUUUGUGCUGUUUUAUUAUUAGUUGGCUCAAAUACCGGAAAGACAAGUACCGAUUGUCCUAUUUGAUACUGCUUUUUAUAUACCUCAAUACUGAUGGAACAUUGGUGCAAUGUUGACAAAGAACGUUUUGGCAAAUCUUAGCCCCAAUAUGAGGAUUAAAUAUUGUUCUUGACUUUGAGUUACGAAAUCCAUGUUAUCGAAAAUCCACCACAGCCAGAUCUCUCCAUCCACAUUUAUUCCUGACAAGAGCAACAACACUUAUCUAUUAUUUACAAUGGAUGGCAGACAAGGGUUGGUAUGUAUUUAAUGUAAUGUUCAUUUGUGUUUUCAUAAAAAAAAAAAAAAAAAAAAAAAAAAAAAAAAAAAAAAAGAAAAAAAAAAAAAAAAAAAAAAAAAAAAAAAAAAAAAAAAGGGGGAGGGAAAAGGGGGGAGGAGUUAAGGCGGGGAAAAGAGGGAGAGGGGGUGGAGUAAAAGGGGAGGUAGGCGGGAAGGGAAAGAAAGAGGGGAAGAUCGAGGUUGGGUAGGGAGAAAGUGGGGAUGAAGGGAGAGGAGGGGGCGAGCGAAAAUGACAACGUAAGAGGGAAGCAAAAGGUAAGGGGAGGUGGGAAGGACCCCCACAUAACUUCACUUUAUAUUAAAUAGCUUGUGAAGGCUGCUUAUUAUCGUUAAUGUAAUGGCAUCAGAUUUGGUGAACAAUCUUGGAACCAUUGUGAGUCUGGGACCAAAAAGUUCACUGAAGCUAUUGUUGCUGGUGCGAAUGUGACCUGAUUUGGCAGGUUUGCGUGUCGAUUCUACUCAACUGUAUUUAGGCAUGGGUUUCUUAUCCGUGCAUGUGAAAAUGGACUAUUUGCUUGAUGUUGGUUUAUGUCGUGUGUUAUUGUUAAAAUUACCAAUGUUUAUGGGCUUGGCACUUUAUUAUUUGAAUUAGGCUUCCAUGUACUCGUAUGACUUGAACACCUAUUCACAUGGUAUUGGAAGGAGGAAUAUAAAAAUUAAUUGUGGAUCAGUAACUAUUUAAGUAUGACAAUUCUUAGUGUUGAGGAUUUUUGGUAAGAGUUGAUAGAAGAUGAUUACCAUCCCCCUCCCCUACCUGAAACUCAAUGUGUUUUUUCUUUUCUUGGUCGUCUAUUUAUUUAGAGAUUCACCCUGGCUUUGGUUGAGCAUGUGGUGACUAUCUGUAUUUUUUUUCUUACGAUAAUCUGUGAUCCAUUGACUUGGAGAAAUCAUUGACAAAUGGUUCAAUAUGUGCCACUGGUGUGCCAUACCUUCUGAUUACCUUGAUGCAUCAUGUUACUGAUAGCCAGGCCAUUUAGAACAAAUAGCAAAUAUUUUACGAUAAUUAGGUUUUGUGAUUUAGAGUUAUCAUAACUAGAAUCAAAUUAUAAUAUUUCAUACAUAAUUAAUUUGAAAAUUUUAAUUAUUAUUUUAAAUUUUGAAAGUCAUGUAUUUUUACCUAAUAUAUUACUAUAAAUUAAUUUUGCUAAUUUAACACAAUAAAAGUUAAUUAUAUAUUCUUACAUUAUAUAUUAAUAUUUUAAAGUAAAAAUUUUGAAUUUUAAUCAUCUAAAUAUUAAUUAUAUUCUAUUUUUAUUUAAUUAACGAAAUUACAUUUUAUAUUAACAACUAAUUAAUGAAGUAGGGGUAAUUGUUUUCUUUUUUUACAUCUUAUCUCAUCAUAUUCAACUUUAAAUCCCCCAUCUCCAAAAUAAUAUCCAAAUACCAAACUACAAAUCCACCAUGUGGGCCCUCUUAUUAUAAAUUAUCCCCCAUUUUAAAUCCAUCCUCAAAUCCCCUCAUUCUAAAUCCACUAAAAUCACCUGUCAAACGGGCUGUAGAGGUGGUAAAGAGCUGGUCUCUGGAUUCAAUGAAGCCUUGUUGGAUGGCAUCAGCUAUUGCUUCCCCAAGAGACUCUUCCGAUUUCGUACACUGCCGCAGAGUCAAAGUGGCGGUACCCGAUUUCGAUGGCCCUGAGAAUCGAUUCUUUC